rnacentral:rRNA from 1 species
CUAAGAAUAUUCCGCAAUGGACGAAAGUCUGACGGAGCGACGCCGCGUGGAUGAUGAAGGCCGAAAGGUUGUAAAGUCCUUUUGCUGGGGAAGAAUAAGUGUGGGAGGGAAUGCCCGCAUGAUGACAUGAACCGGCGAAUAAGCCCCGGCCAACUACGUGCCAGCAGCCGCGGUAACACGUAGGGGGCGAGCGUUGUUCGGAAUUACUGGGCGUAAAGGGCAUGUAGGCGGUCUGGUAAGCCUGGCGUGAAAGGCCACAGCUCAACUGUGGGAUUGCGUUGGGAACUGCUGGGCUUGAGUUAUGGAGAGGGAGCUAGAAUUCCUGGUGUAGGGGUGAAAUCUGUAGAUAUCAGGAAGAAUACCGAUGGCGAAGGCAAGCUCCUGGCCGAUGACUGACGCUGAGGUGCGAAAGUGUGGGGAUCAAACAGGAUUAGAUACCCUGGUAGUCCACACUGUAAACGAUGUGCACUAGGUGCUGGGGCGGUAGCUUCAGUGCCGGAGCGAACGGGUAAGGCACCGC